CCUCGCCAUAUAUUGCAUACAUUUUCUGGGUUUUACUCGCGGGAUUCGUCAUGCCAUCUCGAUGUGUAGCGAUGAAUUACUCACAGGAAGAUUCGAGACUCUAGGAGUGGUCCCAAAAAAACUUCUCCUGCAAAGCCACGACAGCUUUGAAAACCUACAACAAUGCAACCUUGGUUUUGCAAAGACGAAGCCAAACAUAAAAAAUUAAGUGGCGGAAACCCUCAACACGAUGAAAAAAGC